CUAUUAGGCAAAAUAGCAGCUUAAAACAUGUGAUCAUAUCCUUUGCCUGCUUAUUAAUCUCAUUACCCAGGGCAGAGCUUUAGCUCUUUAGCCUAACACAUAAGGCCCUGGCUUCAUGCCUCAUGUUCUCUGUGCUCCAAGUAGUUUUCCCCUCUUGUUUUCCUUGGUGACCUCUUACUCUUUUUUCAAGAUCCAGAUUAAAUGCCAUCUUCAAUGUGGCCCCUUCUCCCGGUCCCCAUUUAAACAAGCUUCUUUCUGUGGGACUCAUGAGAGAUAGUGUGACAUGCGGGGGGCGGGGGGCGGGUGGAGGAAAUAAAAAGCAAGGACAGCUCUGCAAUUUAACUUGGGCAAAUCAUUAACCUUCCUGAGAAUCCAUUUGCUAUAAUUUAGUGAUCUAGAAAAAAAGUACAACCUGGCUUAUGAAAAGGUAUAACGAUUUUCACCUGGGAAGAUUGCGAUGGUUAAAUAGAAAAUGGUAUGAAGAACCAGCAUAGUUCCCAGUACACAGAACGGUAUCAAUAAAUGUGUAGUUUCUUAUGCCCGGCACAAAAGAAAUAUGCAAAGAUUACAGAAUGAAGAAAUUCCCAUCUGUACCCAGAACACAGCUCUAAUGUUUUUUAUACUCAUAUUCCAAAUGAAUAGGAGAGGCCAGUAAUACUCCAGAGUGUCUACUUGCCUCUCUCUUCCUCUACAUUCCCUUUUCUCUCUCUUUAUCCUUAUUCACUCUCAAGCUUAAGUCACCAUGGAAACUGAAGUAGAAUACAAAUAACGCACGUAUCCUGUAUCUCACCUGCACCUCAAGGCCGUUCCCGAUAUGGUCUUAAACCCAGGAAACCGAAAGGAGAACUUCCGAACCCAAGUAUCAGAGGAAGAGAUGUUGAUGUAUUCAGACGGAAAUAGGACAGAUCCAUAGACACAGGGGUUCGGCUCCGACACGGCUGUCCUAACACAGACAGACCAAGGGCCCCGCGCUAUCGACGUCGCCCGGGGACCCGCAGGAGGAAGACUACUUGAGGUCUUCGAGUAUCUGUGCUCCUCAUCCUCUGUCCCUUAAUAUACAAAUUCAAGUCAUAACCAGGUCCCGUGUUCUCAGUCUCAAGGCAUAUGCCUCAUUUCAGACUUAAUCCAGGUGGGGGUGGCAUGCACCCUGGAGAGGAAAAAAAAAUUACUGAAAAUAACUGCUUUCACAGAAAUCUUUUGACUGGCUGGACAUAGAGGCACCCGAAACUAUUGCUUAAGAAAAGAUUUUUCUAAUUUCAAUAUAUCAAAUUAAAUAAAGAAAUUCAUGUGACCAACAUUUUCAGCACUUCUUAUACAUCAAGGACAUAGGGUGAGAAAGACGUUAUCCUCUUUGAAGGAAUAUAUGACUUAGGAAGACAGAGAAUAUGAAGAGAUCAUUUCAAUGCACUGUGGAGAUAGAUGAGGGAAACUUCUGCUUGGAGAGCAGCAGGAGACGAAGUAGGGAGUCAAGAACAACUUCCUGGGACAAGUGAUACUGAAAUUAAAUCCAGAAGAGUAACCUGGAGCACACCAGGGGGAGAAAGGGGCCAAGCCAAGAAAGGGGGUCUCCAGGCAAGGGAAGCAGCAAAGGCACAGACAGAACCAAAGGUGGUGCAGUGUUUCUGGAGCAGAAAGUCAGAGGUGGGAAACGGCAGACGAUGACUCCGGAAGAAACAGAUGAGGGGGGAACUGAUGUGCCAUGCGAAAGGAGAGGCAUAGCUUCUCUGAGAGAAGUCCGUUCACCACACAAAGGGCUAAACAUCACUGUUAUUUGGGAAGUCUAGAAGACUCCAGGAGGUUCCAUCUUCUACCAGCAAAGAUAGCAGGGACUGUGCUGAUCAUCUUUCCCACUUAGAGGUAGCAACAGCCCAAAGUGUAUGUAAGAGUCCCAGAGCCCAAACGGCCUGAGAUAGCAUAUGAUGCCACAGGGGAAGACUGAAACUGGAAGAUGAAAUUUGGGUGAUUGUAAUUGGUCUGAGUAGUAGAAAAUGGUGGGUAGACUGAGCCAGGGCGUCAUAGCCAGCCGCUCAACAUCGUCUUCCUUCCUCUGCAGGGAGUUGCUGAUGUCUGCUGGUUUGCUCUUGGUUGGUUGGCUUUGAAUUAGGAUAGAGGAUCAUUCUGAAAUUUCUGCUUGGACACCACUUCUGCACCUCAACAAAUAAAUACUU